ACCGGCCCAUACGAUUGGCCAUUACAUGUUAAGUUAAGUUUACUCAGAGAGGCUACGGUCUAACCACAGGUUGGUGAUCGCCGCGGUCUACUCUUAUACAGAAUGAGAUCCUAGUGUACUGCAGUAUAAGAAGGCAUUGCACUCGCUAUAAUUAGGCUUUAGGUUAGUAAGGCAUAAUAGUGGAUGGAGAAGGUGAAAGGACCCUAAGAGGCGCCUAUAUGGAAGAGCCACCCAUGAAAGUUGCUUUGCAAAUGCUAAAAACACCCCCUAGAUUAUAGUAUGCUUUUUAGAGGAUUUGC
rfam:Rousettus bat coronavirus isolate GCCDC1 356, complete genome